rnacentral:rRNA from 1 species
AGUGAACGCUGGCGGUAGGCCUAACACAUGCAAGUCGAACGGCAGCACAGUAAGAGCUUUCUCUUACGGGUGGCGAGUGGCGGACGGGUGAGGAAUACAUCGGAAUCUACUUUUUCGUGGGGGAUAACGUAGGGAAACUUACGCUAAUACCGCAUACGACCUACGGGUGAAAGCAGGGGAUCUUCGGACCUUGCGCGAUUGAAUGAGCCGAUGUCGGAUUAGCUAGUGGGCGGGGUAAAGGCCCACCAAGGCGACGCUCCGUAGCUGGUCUGAGAGGAUGAUCGGCCAAACUGGAACUGAGAAACGGUCAAGACUCCUACGGGAGGAAGAAGUGGGGAAUAUUGGAAAAUGGGCGAAAGCCGGAUCAAGACAUACCGCGUGGGUGAAGAAGGCCUUCGGGUUGUAAAGCCCUUUUGUUGGGAAAGAAAAGCAGCAGGUUAAUAACCCGAUGUUCUGACGGUACCCAAAGAAUAAGCAACGGCUAACUUCGUG